rnacentral:rRNA from 1 species
GACGAACGCUGGCGGCGUGCUUAACACAUGCAAGUCGAACGAAGUGGCGAACGGGUGAGUAACGCGUAAUCAACCUGCCCUUCAGAGGGGGACAACAGUUGGAAACGACUGCUAAUAUCGCAUACUGAAGGAGGGGCUUGCGUCUGAUUGGCUAGGUGGAGGGGUAACGGCCCACCAAGGCGAUGAUCAGUAGCCGGUCUGAUAGGAUGGACGGCCGAAUUGGGCCGGAGACACGUCCCAGACUCCUACUGGAGGCAGCAGUGGGGAAGCUUCCUGAAUGGACGAAAGUCUGACGGAGCAACGCCGCGUGAGUGAUGACGGCCUUCGGGUGGGAAAGCUCUGUUAAUCGGGACGCGGUACCGGAAUAGAAAGCCACGGCUAACUACGUGCCAGCAGCCGCGGUAAUAC